AAGAAAGCGGGCAGAUGGGAAACAGAAUCCAGGAAGCUGCAGGUGUCGAUUUGUUUAUCAGCAGGAAGUGGCUUGAACUGGUGCUGAAGAAGCAGAGACAUGGUGCGCUCCGGUUACAGGUCCCCCACACACCGACAUAGCCGAUUCCACAGCAUAUUCCUCAUGAAUAUAGGCUGCUGCACCGUGCUGGGGGGCUGGUGCAAAUUGCAAGAAAAUGUUAAAAUUGAACCCGGGGCGUUAGUAAAAUAAAGAGUCUCUGGACACUCAGUUGGUGUUUUCUUUGGUCGUUAUGGUGACCAGUUGUUUUGCAGCCUUGGCAAUGUCAUAAGCGCACUGGAUCACUUGCUGCGUUACCAGCUGGAUAUCGGCCGUCUGACUGGAUUCCAUAGGGAGGGUCUUCUUGCAUUCUGACUGCAGCCGAUGAGCACUGGAUGUCAGGAGUCGAAGUGAAGUCCUCACCAUAUCAGACUUGGGCUUCUGAGGGAAGAUUUAUCCCAUUAGCAAAAAAGGAAACCCCAAUUGGAACUAGCCCUCCACAGUGACUCCAUGGGUCAACAAAGCCCUCCCAUCUAUCAAGCUUACCUACUUGACGCUGCCCUGGAAAAUUCGAAAAGAUAUGGGACCCAUGGCUAGGCAUUAAUUCACUUGAACUCCCAGAUCUCUAAGGCCUAUGCCAGCCAACCAAAUGCUAAGGCACAGUGAAUUGGUUGCAUAUAUGGUGUUAUACGGGAUUGAUCUUUGUUAUUCCAUGUUCUGACAAUUAUUUAUAUUAAUAUAAUAUUUAAUAUUAUUUUUAUAUUAUUUUUAUAAUAUAUUAUAUUAAAAUAUUAAUAUAAUAUUUUUAUUCAAAGGCAUAAUGGAAACACCAAGUGUUAACACUAUGUGUGAACCAAUGUAUGUACUCCCCUACCCCUAAAAAAACAAAAAUUAAUAAAAGGAAACCCCAUCACUACCUGUA